GAUGAACGCUGGCGGCGUGCCUAAUACAUGCAAGUCGAGCGAACAGACGAGGAGCUUGCUCCUCUGACGUUAGCGGCGGACGGGUGAGUAACACGUGGAUAACCUACCUAUAAGACUGGGAUAACUUCGGGAAACCGGAGCUAAUACCGGAUAAUAUAUUGAACCGCAUGGUUCAAUAGUGAAAGACGGUUUUGCUGUCACUUAUAGAUGGAUCCGCGCCGCAUUAGCUAGUUGGUAAGGUAACGGCUUACCAAGGCGACGAUGCGUAGCCGACCUGAGAGGGUGAUCGGCCACACUGGAACUGAGACACGGUCCAGACUCCUACGGGAGGCAGCAGUAGGGAAUCUUCCGCAAUGGGCGAAAGCUUGACGGAGCAACGCCGCGUGAGUGAUGAAGGUCUUCGGAUCGUAAAACUCUGUUAUUAGGGAAGAACAAAUGUGUAAGUAACUAUGCACGUCUUGACGGUAUCUAAUCAGAAAGCCACGGCUAACUACGUG
rnacentral:rRNA from 1 species